AGGUUUCAUUAUGUCAUGAAGACAGACAGAGAAAAGAAUUAAAAGAGGCAGAGAAGAUAUUCUCAAGAGGAGUAAGACAUGACAGCAGCUUAUCAAGUGGCUGAGAAACUAUCUUCAUAACCAUAGAGCCAUGUGUAUCAUCUCGAGAGAGAAUUUCCUGAUCAGAGGAAAUUGCAGUUACUACAUUUUCACACGUCUUCCUGAACCACAUUAAAAUGACUUUAAUGACUUGGAUGAAUGGCACAAGGAGUCAGCAGAGCUCACAAAGAAUCCAAUGAGUUUGUUGCUCUGAACUGUAGUUCUGUUAACAAAAUGAGAUAUGAGUUGCCUGCAUGUUCUCAAAAGGGUUGUUUCUUGUACACAGGGCUUCCCACAGAAUAUAAAAGCAAGAUAAUGCUGUUUAAGAAUUGUUUCAUAAGUGAUAAAUUACGCAAAUUUCUUUAGACUAUGAAUCACUGAAUAAUUUACCAGAGGAUAAUGAUGUAUGCCUCAAUAAAAAUGUUUGGUAUAAUUACAAAUUUAUUCACAAGCCACUUAACUCAUGCUCACUGAAGAUAUUUUGAUAUGCUUUUUUUUUUUCCCCCUAGUUACUUUAAUUUUUCCUACUUUAUCAAAUCUGAACUUUGCUCUGUAGCAUAAUAAUAAGUAAAUUACUUUCUCAGAUCUUGAUAUAUUUCUUAUUCUUAAACAAUGUCUAAGGACCCAAUGUCCUCAACAGGAUUCCAGUUUCAAUGCAUCCACAAAAUCAUACUGUGAAAUACAGCAAGAUCUUCUAAGUAUUUACUCAUGUGCUAAAAGCUAUGUUUCUGUAAUGGUGCUGAAAUCAAUGCUGGAGCUGGAUGCAGUUGGACAAAAAUCUUGCUUGUGCAGUUGUUAGCCAAUAGCUAGAGCAUGUCCUACUUCCUACAGUGCAUGGUUACAAGAAGAUCUAACCAAAAAUUGGAUAUAAGAAGAACACUCAUGUAGCACCUGCAAGAGAAUAAGGCAGCUUUGGAGAACAGUAGUAGUGGCAGUGCAAAGUGCCUGUGUUUCCUUGUCUAAGGUUAGCAGGUUUUAAUUUUGAGGCAGUCACAGUGACUGUAUUUUCCACAGAUGGGAAGAAUGAAGGAUGCCUUUGUUUUGCUCACACUGCGACUAAAGUAAAGCUUGAGAAUAAAGUUCCAAAGGG
ensembl:lncRNA